CCUACGGGAGGCAGCAGUGAGGAAUAUUGGUCAAUGGACGAGAGUCUGAACCAGCCAAGUAGCGUGAAGGAUGACUGCCCGAUGGGUUGUAAACUUCUUUUAUAAAGGAAUAAAACGAGGCACGUGUGCCUUUUUGCAUGUACUUUAUGAAUAAGGAUCGGCUAACUCCGUGCCAGCAGCCGCGGUAAUACGGAGGAUCCGAGCGUUAUCCGGAUGUAUUGGGUUUAAAGGGAGCGUAGUUGGGUUGUUAAGUCAGUUGUGAAAGUUUGCGGCUCAACCGGAAAAUUGCAAUUGAUACUGGCAGUCUUGAGUACAGUUGAGGUAGGCGGAAUUCGUGGUGUAGCGGUGAAAUGCUUCGAUAUCACGAAGAACCCCGAUUGCGAAGGCAGCUUACUAAACUGUGACUGACAUUGAUGCUCGAAAGUGUGGGUAUCAAACAGGAUUAGAUACCCGAGUAGUC
rnacentral:rRNA from 1 species